CGUAGACGGUUAUAGUCCCGUAGGUGAAAGUGGCCUGGCUUCUGUGGGAGCUCCCCAAGUAGCGGCGGACCCCUUAAAUCUGCGCGUAAUCUGCCAGGACCACCUGGGAAGCCUAAAUACUUCCUGGUUACCCAUAGCGGA
rnacentral:rRNA from 1 species